GAUGAACGCUAGCUACAGGCUUAACACAUGCAAGUCGCGGGGCAGCAUGAGGGUUGCUUGCAAUUCUUGAUGGCGACCGGCGUACGGGUGAGUAACACGUGAGUAACCUGCCCUCUUCUUUGGGAUAACGGUCGGAAACGGCUGCUAAUACUGGAUAUUCACACAUUGUCGCAUGGUGGUGUGUGGAAAGGGUUUUCUGGUGGGGGAUGGGCUCGCGGCCUAUCAGCUUGUUGGUGGGGUGAUGGCUUACCAAGGCUUUGACGGGUAACCGGCCUGAGAGGGUGACCGGUCACAUUGGGACUGAGAUACGGCCCAG
rnacentral:rRNA from 1 species